UGAGAUCAGAUAUCUGCCCCAUCUCCCUGCCCAACUUCUAGGACUGCAAUGGGACUUGUCUGUGUGGUUAUCUUCCCUUGUGCUGAAGAGUAUCUUUGGAGUGGUGCUGACCACUGUUGGGUCUGCUUUGAAUGCCAAGUUGGGCAGGUUGAAUGGGGCUAUCUGCUGGGAAACAGGGGGUUGGGGGCAGGACACAUGGUGUUAGCAAAGUAUGCACUUGUCUGCUUACAGGAUGGAACCUGGAGCCACAUUGGAGGGACUUCUACUAGUGAAGCAAAUUGGACAGUGCAAUCCACAGGAGAAUACAAGGGUGGACAUACAGUGUUAGCAAGCUAGGUUGCAAGUAUUCUUACUGGUUCCUGUAGGUGUUCUAAUAUCCAGGCUAGGAAGUGUGGGAGAUAAAUGGUACCCACCAGCUCUUUUGUUCUUGGAGAAAUCUCUUAAGGAUCUCUGCCCCUCCAGCAUACAUUAAGAGGUUAGUUUGAUUGUUGACUACAUCUCUGCCCUUCCAUCCAUUUUCGAUGUGGCCUCUUCUCUAUGAUGAACUGUGAAGAGUCUGUUCUGCCCAGACUCCACAUGAUUUUCUAGGUUAGUUACGCUGAUGUGGGUGUUAUCUACCUCUGUUCAUGGUCCAAGUUGCUAAGAGACAUCUUAAAGUCCUUAUCGAAAGAAAAACAAAUUUCUACAUAUGGAUGGUGAUGACUGUUAACUAGACAUACUGUGGCUUGUGUGUGAAACAAGAACUGAAGUGCUCACAGAUGAGGCAGCGAUUAGCAUCCAAACCUACCCCAUGCCAAGCAAGAGCUGUUGUUGCUGAGAUCCAAAGUUAUCUAGGUGAUCACUGACAAAUAGCUUCCCCCAGAACAUGAGAAAUCUCCAACCACCUGCUCUUUCUUGGCUGGUGGAGUGAAACAGAUUUCCUAGUCUACUGGCUCUGCUAAACUGUGAGUUCCAGGUGAGCCAAAGCCACUCUUCCAGCCAUUGAAAGAAAAAAAUGACCUCAGUCAGCAGGAGGACUCUCUCCUGCCAGAAGAAAGGAAAAGAGACUUGAGAAAUCAUUUAACCCAAGACCCUCACUGUACAGAUCAGAAUUCAGGUCAAGUGCUUCGCCUAAGUCAUAAAGCAGUUAUUUCAUUGCAAAAACAGUAUGAGCAAAAACCUCUCUGGCUAAAUUAAAGAUACUCCCAGGGAGGCAUCAUGAUGUAUGUAAUGAGCAGAGUACUGGUAUUGAUUGAGACUCUCUUGGCUUGUAUUUUAAUUCUUCAAUUAUAUAUAAGCUACCAAGGAACCUUUAGCAACUUCAGUUUCCUUGAUGCUAUCUUACAGGGUCAUUUUGAAGAGUGCGUGUGACAAUUCACAUAAUAGUCAUGUAAUUGCAACAAGUAAUUGUUAUGUAAUUGUACGUAAAUUAAGUACAUGAUAGCAAUUAUUAUUAUUAUUCAGUGGCCCAGGAAAUGUAAACCUAUCAGCUAUCUACUGAUAUCUUCAAAAGAAGAGGACAUCCUACAAGGAACUGUGAAGUCAAAUAAAUUUCCAAAAUUUAAAGCUAAAGUUAAAUAGUUGGUCUAGAUCACCAACUAUUCAGUCUUUUAAAAAUUCUCUCUUCCUUAUCUUUGGAAUGACUAUCCAAAGAUUUCAGCAAAUGCAAAUGGCCCAGAAAUGUAACCACAUAUAAUAUAGAGCUUAAAAAAUAAAGGUUUUUAUUUCCAUCUAAAA